UUUGACACCUUUGGCUUAAUUUUCUCAUCUUACUCACUACACAUCCAAAAGAGUAGCACACAUGUCAACCACAACGCCGCCGUCACCGCCACAGCGUCUGGCUGCACUUCCUUGCCAUACCUCAAACAAAUUGCGUAAUUAUACACCCAUCCAAUCCUUCAACCGUAAGGAUUUUUCCAUUCGAUGUGAAUUCGAGAAUAGUCAAAGGUGGACGGUUGGUUGUGUUUCGGGCACUGAUCCAAUUCAUAUUAUUCUAAAACCUCCUUCCAUUCCAAUGACUUCAGCUGCUGUUUUAGGUUCAUCUGGGAAGAAUUCUAAGAGAGUUUGCUUAUUCUAUUGCAAUGAAAUGAAGGACCUUGCGGAGAGAAUCGCUUCCCAAUCCGACGCCAUUGAGCUUCGUAACAUCACUUGGAGGACUUUUGAAGAUGGAUUCCCCAACUUAUUCAUAUCUAACGCUCAUGGCAUCCGUGGACAGCAUGUAGCUUUCCUUGCUUCUUUUAAUUCUCCUGGAGUAAUUUUUGAGCAAUUAUCCGUCAUUUAUGCAUUGCCAAAGCUCUUUGUUUCCUCAUUCACACUUGUUCUUCCAUUUUUCCCGACGGGCACAUCUGAGCGUAUGGAGGAUGAAGGUGAUGUUGCCACAGCUUUUACACUUGCCAGGAUUUUGUCGAACACCCCAGUUCCUCGAGGAGGACCAACUAGUUUAGUUAUAUUUGAUAUCCAUGCAUUGCAGGAGAGAUUCUACUUCGGAGACAAUAUACUACCAUGCUUUGAGAGCGGGAUCCCAUUGCUUCUAAAUAGGCUACAACAACUCCCUGACUCUGACAAUAUAUCUAUAGCUUUUCCUGAUGAUGGUGCAUGGAAACGUUUUCACAAGCAGCUUCAGCAUUUUCCUAUGAUUGUCUGUGCUAAAGUUAGGGAAGGUGAUCAACGAAUUGUACGGAUUAAGGAGGGAGACCCUGCAGGACGUCAUGUUGUGAUAGUGGAUGAUCUUGUACAAUCAGGUGGCACCCUAACAGAAUGCCAGUUUUUGGCAAGGCUGUUAGGAUACAUGCUUAUAUCAAUCAAAGGGCAAAGAAAUUUGGUAAAAUCUGCCAAGACAAGAUUUGCAACAGCUUUUUUGACUUUGUAUAGUUUUUAUAAGCAAAAGAAAAAAUUUGAGAAAUUUGUUUAUGUCAACUGAAUGGAAUGAGAGUAUUUAUUCAAAGGAACCUCUUGGUAAAGAAGUUGCGAGACAUAUUAUUAGUCCAUUUUUGUAGAAUGAUGUUGUUCAAGCACUUCGAGUUGGUGGUCCUUUAAUUCAUGUACUUCGUAUGGUAGAUGGGGAGAAAAAACCACCAACGGGUUACAUUUAUGAAGCCAUGGAUAGGGCCAAAGAAAGUAUUGAAAAGGCAUUCAAUUAGGAUACAAGGAAAUAUCAAAGUGUUUUUGAAAUCAUUGAUGCAAGGUGGACAAAUCAACUUCAUCAGCCUUAGCAUGCAGCGGGACACAUUUUGAACCUAGUGCUCUAUUAUAAAAAUAAUGACAUGAAGACUUUAACAGAAGAAGUGUGGCAGGGAUAUCAUAAAUGCGUUGAGAGGAUGAUCCCAUAUAAAACUUUGCAAGACAAAAUAGGGGAGGAUCUUGGUGUGUACAUGAAAGCGGAUGGCCUACUUGGAAUUGAAUCAGCCAUUAGAGCUAGAACCUUGAGAUCACCAGUUGAAUGAUGGAUGCAAUAUGGUCAUAAUGUCCCAAACUUGCAACAAUAUGCUAUAAGAGUACAAAGUUUAACUUGUAGCGCAUCCGGUUGUGAGAGAAAUUGGAGUGUGUAUGAACAUAUUCAUAGUAAAAAGAGAAAUAGGCUGGAGUUGACACGCCUCAAUGAUCUAAUAGAACAUUGGCGCGUCGUUACAAGGUCGUAAUACCAUUAAUCCAAUUUUGUUGGAUAGUAUUGAUGAGGCAAAUGAAUGAUUUAACUAGAGCACCACAAGAUCACCAAGAUGAAGUGUACGAAGGAGAAAGUCUCACUUAUGGUGAUGUUUCUGUGGCAAGUGGUAUUGAGGAGAAUAUUUAUAGUUUUAGGGGGAGUACAGUAAGGGGCAAGGAAAGAGAAGUUGGAGGUUCUAGUUCAAGUCGAAACCUUGUUGAUGAGCCUUCUGAUGAUGAAGAAGAUGAUGACCAAGUAGAACCCUUGGUUAUGGCACUUGAAGAGUUUGAGGAUCUUGUUGAAGAAUAGGAGUUUGAAUCUUUGUGAUUUAAUUAUGUUUUUGAUUUUUUGCUUUAUAUGUUAUGACUUAUGAGUAUCAUUGACUAUGUAAUUUCUUUCAAUCUAAGACUACAUUAUCUCUAUUU